rnacentral:rRNA from 1 species
GCUUAACACAUGCAAGUCGAGCGGUAAGGCCCUUCGGGGUACACGAGCGGCGAACGGGUGAGUAACACGUGGGUGAUCUGCCUCGCACUUCGGGAUAAGCCUGGGAAACUGGGUCUAAUACCGGAUAUGACCUCAUGUCGCAUGGCGUGGGGUGGAAAGGUUUACUGGUGCGAGAUGGGCCCGCGGCCUAUCAGCUUGUUGGCGGGGUAACGGCCCACCAAGGCGACGACGGGUAGCCGACCUGAGAGGGUGACCGGCCACACUGGGACUGAGACACGGCCCAGACUCCUACGGGAGGCAGCAGUGGGGAAUAUUGCACAAUGGGCGAAAGCCUGAUGCAGCGACGCCGCGUGAGGGAUGACGGCCUUCGGGUUGUAAACCUCUUUCGACAGGGACGAAGCGAAAGUGACGGUACCUGUAGAAGAAGCACCGGCCAACUACGUGCCAGCAGCCGCGGUAAUACGUAGGGUGCGAGCGUUGUCCGGAAUUACUGGGCGUAAAGAGCUUGUAGGCGGUCUGUCGCGUCUUCUGUGAAAACUUGGGGCUCAACCUUAAGCUUGCAGGCGAUACGGGCAGACUAGAGUACUUCAGGGGAGACUGGAAUUC